rnacentral:misc_RNA from 1 species
UAAGGCGCGAGAUUGGAUUUCGGAUUCUCUGAUUUUCCCAUAGAAUUUUGGCUGACAGUUAUUUCGGAUUUUUGCUAAAUCGCCGUGGCUUGCUUUUUGUCUGAAUGUUAGGAAAAUUAGAUAUAGGAAUCGGAAUUGGAAAUGAUCAUAAUGGGGGCGUUUGGGGAAUUUUGGGAUUUAUAUAGGCUUCGAUACAACGCUGGAGUCCGAGUCAACUCUCUGUGUCAGCCCCCCGUCCACUCCGAGUUCACAGAUCUCCUUCUCGGCUUGUUUACUCAUUUUUUUU